rnacentral:rRNA from 1 species
UAGAUGCGAGAGUAGAGCAUAUCAAUAAGCGGAGGAAAAGAAACUAACAAGGAUUCCCCUAGUAACGGCGAGUGAAGCGGGAAGAGCUCAAAUUUGAAAUCUUCAAGGGUUCUACCUUUACGAAUUGUAGUUUAAGGAAGUGUUUUCUGUUGAAGUUUUGGUAAAAGUUCUUUGGAAUAGGACAUCAUAGAGGGUGAGAAUCCCGUAUUUGACCAGUUACUUUCAGCUGUGUGAUACACUUUCAAAGAGUCGGAUUGUUUGGGAAUGCAGUCCAAAAUGGGUGGUAAAUUUCAUCUAAAGCUAAAUAUUGGCGAGAGACCGAUAGCGAACAAGUACCGUGAGGGAAAGAUGAAAAGAACUUUGAAAAGAGAGUUAAACAGUACGUGAAAUUGUCAAAAGGGAAGCGUUUGACACCAGUGUUGUUUUUCUCGAAAAUCAAUUACAAAUGUUUUAUUUUUGAGGAGUUAUGACUUCAUCGGCUUGCUUCUUUCUUUACGAAACUUUCUUAAUGCACUUUUCGGUUAACAAGUCAACAUCAAUUUCUUUUGUUGUAAAAGAGUACGAGGAAGGUGGCUUUCUUUUCGGAGAAAGUGUUUAUAGCCUUGUACCUCUGCAAUCGGAGAGAUUGAGGUCUGCAGCGUAGAUCCUUCGGGGUUAGAUACACUUGUGCUAAGCUUAUAGCUUUGUCAUAGACAACAUGUUGACUAUGAUUAGUCAUGUAGCUUACUCGCUUAUGCUAUUUUACCUACGCUUAGGAUGUUGACGAGACUGUCGAUCUC